CUGACUUACUGAUGUACUCCCCCGCAGCCAAACUCCACCCAGGUAUGCCAGAAGUCUCUACAGUUUCUAGAGAAGAGAACCUAACAGCUCCAGGGACAAAAUCCAGGGGUUUAUGUAAAAGACUGCUACAAACCCUAAGGCCACCUCUGUCUGUGGGCAUGUGGGAGUCUCCUCCUCAUCUGGUGCCAACUGACUCCAUUUGCAAUUAACAGAGUAAUGAAGCCAUGCCCUUAAAAUUUUCAAGACAAAAGCUGUGUCUUCUGUAAGCAACCCUGGAGGUCUGAAACAGUUUGGCCAAUCAGGACCUCCUGCCACUCUCCACUAUUGGAAGCUCGACUCUUUAUCAAUUCACUAGCUUCUAAUAUCCAAGAGAAAACUUAGAUUCCACAAAACCAUCCACAUCUUGAGAUAUCUCUAUGCUGGAGAC
rnacentral:lncRNA from 1 species